rnacentral:rRNA from 1 species
CGAAAAGGCGGGCCCAGGUGUCCGAACUAAACCAAAAACCGGCGCUACAGGCGCCAAGGAAAUCUUAGCGGAGACAGGGGGUCGCACCGUUCGCGGUCGCGGCCUUCGGAAUCCGAUACUCGAACGACUCUCGGCAACGGAUAUCUCGGCUCUUGCAUCGAUGAAGAACGUAGCGAAAUGCGAUACUUGGUGUGAAUUGCAGAAUCCCGUGAACCAUCGAGUCUUUGAACGCAAGUUGCGCCCGAGGCCACUAGGUCGAGGGCACGUCUGCCUGGGCGUCACACACAGCGUCGCACCCCGCCAACCACGUUGUCGGGGAGCGGAAAUUGGCCCCCCGGGCCCUCGAGGGCACGGUCGGCACAAAUGUUGGUCCCCGACGGCGAGCGUCGCGGUCAGCGGUGGUUGUACUACUCACCCCCGAAGACAUCAAGACGCGCUGCUCCGCUGCACGACGGGACAAACGACCCCACGGAACCGCCUCACGCGGCAUCCACCCUGCGACCCCAGGUCAGGC